rnacentral:lncRNA from 1 species
UGUACUGGAUGGGACUCUGUCUGAUGGUCGGGCCUUCAGUGGUGGGGGCUGCCACCUGGACUCUCGGGGGUUUCCUCCACGGCACCUGUACCCCCAUCUAUCUGGCUGCAGGAGCUGGGGGUCUCCUUUGGAGAGUGCAGCGCUGCGCUGGGUCACAAUAUCCUGGAGCCUGUGGUGCACCUGGCCCGGUCCCUCAAGAUGCAAGAAGAGCGCCUGAAGGGCUCGCUGGUGGAGGUGGCCCCCGAGAAGCCUCCAAAGAGAGCUGGCUGCUGCUUCUGAGGUGCUGGCCUUUCUGGGGUGGGCUGGCCACCUUCCUGGGUUUCCUGUGCCUUGGCUCCUGUCCCACCCGCCUGGACACAGCAGUGACAGAGACGACUGGCUCAGAAGUUCUGGAAAACCCUCCUUGGGUCAGGACUCAGACCCCAGGGCAGAGGCUGCACUAACGCUGGCCUUUACACUCCCAGAGAGGGACUUUUCUGAGUAAUAAGGUUGGUGGGGUGGGGAUGGGGGGGCCAGUUAAAACUCUUUAAAGAAAGGAAAAGUCCAGAAAAAGGGCUUAAGGAAAAUACACCACAGUAUUGGCAAAACAUCUCUAAGUGAUAAAAUUAUAGGAUAAAGGUGUGGCGGUGUUUUCCUUUUUACAUGUAUUUGUAUUUACAGAUCUUCUACGAUGACUGGGUAUUCCUUCUGUAGUCAGGAAUAAGAAUAAAUCUUGAAGGGCGGAAGGGAAACUUUUAAAGAGCUUGCUUCGGUGCUGAUUCCUAAUUGAAAUGGCCUGUUAAUUGCAAAGUACUCUGUUUAUUAAAGCAGUCCCACUCUUCCAUGCCUGGCAAAGCUGGUGAACCUUGUCAUUCUCAAUGUCUCGGCUCAGCACUGCUUCCUUGCACCCUA